rnacentral:rRNA from 1 species
CGAAAUGCGAUAAGUAGUGUGAAUUGCAGAAUUCCGUGAAUCAUCGAAUCUUUGAACGCAUAUUGCGCCUUCUGGUAUUCCGGGAGGCAUGCCUGUUCGAGCGUCACUAAAAAAUCAACUCGUGCAAGCAAACCUUGCGUGGUCAUGGAGGAAGAGGUUCCGCCUUGUCUUGCCAAUCUCCCCUCCCAAAAUCAAGGGCGCAAAGUCACUGGCUCUCGGCGUAGUACUAUCGUUCGUCGAUCAUCCGGUGUCGUUGUCGCCGUCAAACCCCCACAGUUCUCUCGAUUGACCUCGGAUCAGGUAGGGAUACCCGCUGAACUUAAGCAUAUCAAUAAGCGGAGGACAAGAAACCAACAGGGAUUGCCUUAGUAACUGCGAGUGAAGCGGCAUGAGCUCAAAUUUGAAAUCGGUGCCUACCAAUCGCGUCGAGUUGUAAUUUGGAGGGACGACUUCGGGCUGAACCGCAUCGUAAGUUCCUUGGAACAGGACGUCACAGAGGGUGAGAAUCCCGUGUCUUGAUGUCGGGUCAAACCGUGUGAAGCGUCUCCGACGAGUC